GACGAACGCUGGCGGUGUGCUUAACACAUGCAAGUCGAACGGUAAGGCCCUUUCGGGGGUACACGAGUGGCGAACGGGUGAGUAACACGUGAGUAACCUGCCCUCAUCUCUGGGAUAACAGUCGGAAACGGUUGCUAAUACUGGAUAUGAGCUUGCAAGGCAUCUUUUGGGUUGGAAAGAUUUUUUUGGGUUGGGGAUGGACUCGCGGCCUAUCAGCUUGUUUGUGUGGUGGUGGCGCAUCAAGGCUUCGACGGGUAGCCGGCCUCAGAGUGCGACCGGCCACAUUGGGACUGAGAUACAGCGCAAACUCCUACGGGAGGCAGCAGUGGGGAAUAUUGCACAAUGGACGGAAGUCUGAUGCAGCAACGCCGCGUGCGGGAUGACGGCCUUCGGGUUGUAAACCGCUGUCAAUUGUGACGAAGCUUUUUUGUGACGGUAGCAGUAGAAGAAGCACCGGCUAACUACGUG
rnacentral:rRNA from 1 species